rnacentral:lncRNA from 1 species
GUAGUAACCCGAAAUUUCAUAGAAUAAAAUUUGAUUUAUGUAUGCUAAGUUUUAAUAUUUUAAAAGUUUAGGGACUAAAAUAUAUACAAAGUAAAAUUUAAUUUUAUUCGGGUUAAAAUGUAGAUGUUGAUGGAGCGAUAAUAAGCAUAUGAAUAUUGGGCUCCUUAGAUAGGUCGUAAUUAAAUAUGCAUAUUAGGCUCGAGAAAAAGUUAAUUUGGACUAACGGAG